GGGUGGGCCGCCAGAUGGGAGGCAGGGGGGAUGGAGGAGGGGAGCGUUCCUGGCCUGGGUGUAUGUGUGUGUGUGUGUGUGUGCAUGUAUGUGUUUGAGGACGAGAACUUGGCCUCUGUGUGUGUAUCUACCAGUAUAUAUCGGAAAGCAUAUUUGUGUGUCAGCUAAGAAAGAGCCAGUAUACGUAUGCCGAUGCGUAUGUGUGUGUACGUGGAGGGACGGGGCCAGGCCUAGGGACUCUGGAUCCAGACCCUCUGCAGUUUAGGGAGCCAAGGGGUGGGAAACAGCACAUGUCUCUCUGCCAGCUGCCAGCCGUCAGCCCCGGGAAAGGCACGAGAGAGGCCGCCCUGAGAUGAGUCCACACAGAGAGCCAUAGGAGGCAAGGGGUAGGGUUAGAUCACGCGGGUCAGGCUGAACGACAGAGGGCUGGCUCAUGCAGUCAGUGGUGGGUACAUUCUUGAGCAGGAUUCCUGGGUGUGGAGCUGCGGGGUGGAGGUUUGCCCCAUUCUUAUCUAGGAGGUUGGAUGGGGAGAAGUUUGACCUGAGUGAGGUCUUCUGAUGAACCUACAGUAAAGAGGGUCGGGGUGGGGGGUGUGAAAGAGAGAAAGAGGGGGAAUGUGAUGUAUCUGACGGGUUUGGCUUGCCAGCUGACGGUGUUGGAGAGUUUGGACAUCCUGGGACACCAGAGGCCAGGGGCUGAUAACGUGAAGAUACCCGGAGGCAGUUGGGA